CGGCCCCGUCAUCCCCGACUUCUGGUCGUGGCCCUGUGCACGAUAGUGCCCUCCCUCUUUUACUUCUACUACCUACUGUUGCUGCUGUUGCUGAUUGGUCUAUGCACGGUGGGUAAUCCAUCAAUGUUUAUUUGCUACUGCCUGAGCUCUGUUUCUCUGCAUGCGAGCGUGUUGUUUGUGCAGUGUGGAUGCUUGGUCCUUGUGGAGAUCGUCUAAUAGACGCAGUUCCUCUAUGUUAAUAUUACGAGAAUAGAGUAGUGCAUUUCGGUUAAACAUGUGUUCUAGAUUUUUUUUUGCUGGUAAACAUGUGGUCUAGAUGAUUCUACCUUGUUGUUUCUGAUGUUACAUUUGGUUUAUCUAUGCUGCAUUACAAAUUUGCAAUGAUGUUUGUUGCCCAAGAAACUAGCGAAUUAGAGGCCUGAGAUUUCAAUAGUUUGGAGGAGAAACCAAUGAAUUCAGAUUUGAGUGAGAAAUCUAUUCUAGUUUCAAAUACAUAGGUGUAUUUUUUGUAACUAUGCAUAGAUUUGUAACAAUGAGCAUAGGUGGUUAUAGGUUGCUGUGAUGAUGAAUAUAAAUAUUAAUAAGUGCUCAUGCAUGGCGGUAAUACCGGAUACCAUUGUUUUCACUGUUUUAUCAACAUGCCUUUCCUGAAUCUUUCGUUCAUACGUGUAACCUAUACAUUGUAGCUACUGAGCACUUUUUGUCGACAUAUUAGCUAUUGUGUACCUAAAUAUGACCCAGGUACAAUGGAUACAACACUACCAUAACUUCUUUUCUUGUCUACCAUCCAGGUACAAUGGGAGCAAGCUCAUCCUCCUCAAUCCCUAGCUACUGCACGACUGCUGGGGUGCAUAUUCCCUACAGUUCCUCAAGCAUCUAGACCUCUUAUUGUAGUAGCUGGUAUGCUUGAUGCGUGUAUCUCCGUAUCCUUACUGUUUUUCUAGAACCAUAAAUCCU
rnacentral:lncRNA from 1 species